CUACGGGGGGCUGCAGUGGGGAAUAUUGCACAAUGGGCGCAAGCCUGAUGCAGCCAUGCCGCGUGUAUGAAGAAGGCCUUCGGGUUGUAAAGUACUUUCAGCGGGGAGGAAGGGAGUAAAGUUAAUACCUUUGCUCAUUGACGUUACCCGCAGAAGAAGCACCGGCUAACUCCGUGCCAGCAGCCGCGGUAAUACGGAGGGUGCAAGCGUUAAUCGGAAUGACUGGGCGUAAAGCGCACGCAGGCGGUUUGUUAAGUCAGAUGUGAAAUCCCCGGGCUCAACCUGGGAACUGCAUCUGAUGCGGUCCAGCUUGAGUCUCGGAGAGGGGGGUAGAAUUCCACGGGUAGGGGUGAACUGCGUAGAGAGCUGGAGGAAUACCGGUGGGGAAGGGGGCCCCCUGGACGAAGACUGACGCUCAGGUGCGAAAGCGUGGGGAGAAAACAGGCUUAGAUACCCUAGUAUUC
rnacentral:rRNA from 1 species